AGAGUUUGAUCAUGGCUCAGGGUGAACGCUGGCGAUGUGCCUAAGACAUGCAAGUCGAGCGGAGUUUGUUGUUUACACAGAGUUCCUAUCAGUAGGAGAUUCUGUGUAAAUAAUAAGUUUAGCGGCGAACGGGUGAGUAAUAAGUACAAAUAUGCCCCUCUGUAGGACACAGCCCACCGAAAGGUGGAGUAAUUUCCUAUAGUAUCUCCGGAUUAAAGACGUAAGUCGCGGAGGGAGUAGUGUACUCGCUACCAGCUUGUUGGUGAGGUAAUGGCUUACCAAGGCUAUGACGGCUAUAGGCUCUUAGCGGAGAGUCCGACCAAUGGGACUGAGACACGGCCAUACUUCACGGAAGGCAGCGUUAGGAAUUUUGCGCAUGGACGAAAGUCGACGCAGCGACAUCGCGUGUAGGAUGAAGGCCUCGGGUCGUAAACUACUUUUUGGGAGCCUGAAGGCGCCAGAAUAAGGAACUACUAACUACGUGCAGCGUCGCGGUAAUACGUAGGUUCCCAGCGUUACCCCGGUUUUAUUGGGCGUAAAGCGUCUGUAGGUGGUUUUCUAAGUCUUAUUUCAAAGACUCUGACUCAAUCAGAGAGAGGGGUAGGAUACUGGAAGGCUAGAGUUAUAUCGGGGUUACUGGAAUUUUUGGUGUAGGGGUAAAAUCCGUGGAUACCAAAAAGAACACCAAGCGCGAAGGCGGGUAACCAGGUAUACACUGACACUGAGAGACGAAAGCUAGGGUAGCAAAUCAGAUUAGAGACCUGAGUAGUCCUAGCCGUAAACAUUGUCUGUUAAUUUUUCUCCAAUUUAUUGGGGGGAGAUGUAAGCUAAA
rnacentral:rRNA from 1 species